GACUCACUGGCGGAAAACCUCGAACAAUUCCGAAAGCAACUCGACAACUGAAGAAGACAGCGAAUUAAAGGUGCCGAAACAAAAAAAUAGUGGAGGCGAAAUGAAUUGAAUAACAAAGUAAUACCACGAGUUGCUCAAAGGAUCUGGAAAGUUCCAGAAUGUUCAGUUGUGCUCAUUGUUUCGCAAAAGUCUGCAGUCAAGAUCAGAUUAACGUUGCAGUACUACCAUUCCAGUACUUCAUUCCUGAAGAAGGGCUCAUGCCCGAAAUGUCGAUUCUCCUGCUCCUUGGAUGCUGUCUGACCUGCUGCGCUUUUCCAGCAACACAUUUUCAGCUACCAUUCCAAUGUGGUGCUAUAGGUCCCAUGUUACAGUGAUGUUUAUUAUCCUCACACCACAGCUAUUCUGCCUGUAUCUGCACUGUUCAGUAUUUGGUCACACAAGCACACAAAUACAUCAACAAAGUCUU